ensembl:lncRNA
UGUUAAUGCUGGAUUUGUUUCAGUUUUUGUCUUCUCAAGAUGUUAACUGAUGGACUGGAAGGGUGUGGAUUACUUGUGGAUUAUUGCGAUGUUUUUAACAGCUGUUUGGACUCUCACUCUGAUGGCACCCAUUCACUGCAGAGCAUCCACUGGUGAGCAAGUGAUGCAAUGAUUAAUUUCUCCAAAUCUGAUGAAGAAACAAACUCAUUUAUGUCUUGGAUGACCUGAGAUGCUUUACUGACUUUAAUGCUUGAAAGAGGCUACAGAGUCCCUACCUAAUCACAGGGCCCAAGAUAGCGUUCCUAGUUGCCUCCUCCUUUUUGAGGCUGUCAUUCCGCCUUACAUCUCUUUUUUGGAAGGGACAGACACAUCCAGAUUUUGAUCAACAUGUGGGCUCGCGCGGAUGCUUGUGCAGGGAGUAAUUUCAGCCUGUGGUGAGUGGACAGUACCUCCACUGGGACUGCUGGCAAUCAUGGGGGAAACAAUGUUUACAUCGAUCAGCUGUCAGGAAGAUUUAUGGC